rnacentral:rRNA from 1 species
AUUGAACGCUGGCGGCAGGCCUAACACAUGCAAGUCGAGCGGAUGAAGGGAGCUUGCUCCUGGAUUCAGCGGCGGACGGGUGAGUAAUGCCUAGGAAUCUGCCUGGUAGUGGGGGAUAACGUCCGGAAACGGGCGCUAAUACCGCAUACGUCCUGAGGGAGAAAGUGGGGGAUCUUCGGACCUCACGCUAUCAGAUGAGCCUAGGUCGGAUUAGCUAGUUGGUGGGGUAAAGGCCUACCAAGGCGACGAUCCGUAACUGGUCUGAGAGGAUGAUCAGUCACACUGUAACUGAGACACGCUCCAUACUCCUACGGGAGGCAGCAGUGGGGAAUAUUGGACAAUGGGCGAAAGCCUGAUCCAGCCAUGCCGCGUGUGUGAAGAAGGUCUUCGGAUUGUAAAGCACUUUAAGUUGGGAGGAAGGGCAGUAAGUUAAUACCUUGCUGUUUUGACGUUACCAACAGAAUAAGCACCGGCUAACUUCGUG